rnacentral:lncRNA from 1 species
AAGGCGUCCAAAGGAUGGAGAGGCACCCUUCCGACGGGACUCAGAUCAAACGUCCGCCGCCGAAGUCAGGUCACGGCGGGAAGUACACGUGGGAGGGGUCUGAUCGGAUGGAGGACUACGAGAUGCAGCCGGAUCCGGCGGCGAUGGAUGAAGGCGAUCCUAACUACGACGAGGAGAAGAUCGGCGGUGGUGGUGGUGAGAAAUUCUAAACUUUCAUAUAUGUAUAUAUAUAUAUAUUAUAUGCGUAUGUAAUUUUAAAUCCAUUCAGUGAAUUUUUUCUCCAUGGUGAAUGGUAAAGAAUUUUGAUUAUACCGUAUUAGUAAGAAAAUAUUUCUGUUAGACAUACUUGAAAGUUCAAACAGGUUGAAAGAACACCACUGAUUUCAUAUUUCUGUUUAAACAAGGUAAGAUUCUUCAUCUCUGUUGGGUAAAAGAAACAAGUUUCCACAGUUUUGUGAGUAAUGUAAAAAAAUCAGUUGAUUAAUUUUAAAUGGUUAAUUUUAAAAAACUAAACCAUCAAUUGAUAGUUCUCAAGUAAAACCAGGCAAAGGUGGUCCACAGUUUCAAUAAUGUUCAUCGGUCCGAACGGAUAAUUACUAGAUCAGUGUUAAGGAUAAAAUAAGAGUUUAGAAAAUAAGAAUUAAAAAAAAAUGAGACGUGUCUUGUAAUGUAGGAGAACGACAAAAGAACGUGAUGUGAAUCUUCAACUCUUCAUUAGAUACAUGUCCCCUCCCUUCUUAUCCUCACUCAACCUCACUCAUUAUAUAAACAACACUCUUCUCCUCGAAGCUCAGAGAAACGCAUAAAAAGGUAGCGAUGAAGACGGUAUCGGUGGACGAGACCAAAAACACGGUGGUGCUACGAGCUGAGCACCGGGACGAGGAAGGUCGGAAAGCUGUGGAUAAACUCGAGUUAAAGACUCGAAACCCCGACACGAUCAAGCAAGUCGAGAAGAAGCUGAUGGA